AGAGCCAGUGUGGUCUAGUGGUUAAGAGCGGUAGACUUGUAAUCUGGUGAACAGGGUUCACGUCCCUGCUCCUCCA
rnacentral:tRNA from 1 species